CAUCAUCUCUGAAGCAGAGUUUUCACCAGACUCUGAAUCUACUGGCACCUUCAUCUCAGAACUCCCAGCCUCCAGAACUAUAAGUGUGUGGAGUAAUGAUCUUCAUUUGAGGAUCUGAAGACUAUGGAGGACCCUCCUCCCAGGAAAAAGUAUGCACCUACAUGCAAGUUCAGGUGAUAUUCUGAGGACUUUACAUGUGCUACAUUAUUUAAGUCUUGCAAAAGCACUUGAGUAUCUCCCUCUACAAGGACAUGUGCUCCUUAUGCAUGGAAGCCCUGUUCAAACAUUACCAAGAAGCCUGUUAAGAAGAAACAGCAUCGACU